GGAUGGAGGCGGCCGCGCUGCUGCUCGCGUCCCUCCCCGGUCCCGUACUUUCCCGCGGGCAGAGCAACUUCCACCCCCUCCCUCCUGCCUGCCCGCCCGCCGCGGCGCCCGGCCGCUCCGCCGGCGCCUUCCUCCCGCUUCGCCGCCGGCCCGGCCUGCCCCGGAGUCCCCGAGCCCGCCCUUACGCCGCCGCCGUGGCGUAGAGCUCCAUCCCGGCCCCCGGGCGCUACGCCGCGCAAACAGCGCACAGCCCGUCGUGAAUAGCGCCGAGGAACUACAAGCCCCGAGGGGCGCCGCGCGGAGGAAGCGGAAGGCGGCGGCCGAAAGGAGCGCACCGGGAGCGGCGGUUCGAGGGCGGAGUGAACUCCCGAACGUGUCCCGGUGGCGCGGGGUCGACGGCGGCUGAGGGAGCUGGAGGACGAGAGCGCGGCCGUGCCCGGCGCGGGCAGCGCAGCGCCGGGGCUGAGCGGAGCCUUCUCGGCCUCGCCACUGCGCGGGCGGCCUAGGAAGGAGAGGCGAACCCGGCUAAUUACAGUAGAACCCGGCUAAUUACAGCUCCUAAUGGCCUGGCACGGCAUGAAACGAA